rnacentral:rRNA from 1 species
AUUGAACGCUGGCGGCAGGCUUAACACAUGCAAGUCGAGCGGAGAGAGGUAGCUUGCUACUGAUCUUAGCGGCGGACGGGUGAGUAAUGCUUAGGAAUCUGCCUAUUAGUGGGGGACAACAUUUCGAAAGGAAUGCUAAUACCGCAUACGUCCUACGGGAGAAAGCAGGGGAUCUUCGGACCUUGCGCUAAUAGAUGAGCCUAGGUCGGAUUAGCUAGUUGGUGGGGUAAAGGCCUACCAAGGCGACGAUCUGUAGCGGGUCUGAGAGGAUGAUCCGCCACACUGGGACUGAGACACGGCCCAGACUCCUACGGGAGGCAGCAGUGGGGAAUAUUGGACAAUGGGCGGAAGCCUGAUCCAGCCAUGCCGCGUAUGUGAAGAAGGCCUUAUGGUUGUAAAGCACUUUAAGCGAGGAGGAGGCUACUUUAGUUAAUACCUAGAGAUAGCGGACGUUACUCGCAGAAUAAGCACCGGCUAACUCUGUGCCAGCAGCCGCGGUAA